AGGGCACCACCAGGAGUGGAGCCUGGAUGUUAAUUUGACUCAACACGGGAAAACUCACCCGGCCCGGACACUGGAAGGAUUGACAGAUUGAGAGCUCUUUCUUGAUUCAGUGGGUGGUGGUGCAUGGCCGUUCUUAGUUGGUGGAGUGAUUUGUCUGGUUAAUUCCGAUAACGAACGAGACUCUAGCCUACUAAAUAGAUCGUCGGCUUACAAACGCCGACUAGACUUCUUAAAGGGACAGGCGGGGAUUCAACCGCACGAAACAUAUCAAUAACGGGUCUGUGAUGCCCUUACAUGUCCGGGGCCGCACGCGCGCUACACUGAAGUGAUCAGCGUGCUUUUUCAACCUACUCUGGCAAGAGUGGGGAACCCAAUGAACCUUCUUCGUGAUUGGAAUAGGGAAUGGUAAUUAUUCCCCUUGAACGAGGAAUUCCCAUAAAGCGCGAAUCAUAAGAUCGCGUUGAUUACUUCCCUGCCCUUUGUACACACCGCCCGUCGCUACUACCAAUUGAAUGUCGU
rnacentral:rRNA from 1 species